rnacentral:rRNA from 1 species
AGUCGAACGUGAAAGCACUUCGGUGUGAGUAGAGUGGCGGACGGGUGAGUAACGCGUGGGAAUCUACCCAGUAGUGGGGGACAACUACCGGAAACGGUAGCUAAUACCGCAUACGCCCUAUGGGGGAAAGGCUUCGGCCGCUGUUGGAUGAGCCCGCGUCAGAUUAGCUAGUUGGUAGGGUAAAGGCCUACCAAGGCAACGAUCUGUAGCUGGUCUGAGAGGACGAACAGCCACACUGGGACUGAGACACGGCCCAGACUCCUACGGGAGGCAGCAGUGGGGAAUAUUGGACAAUGGGCGAAAGCCUGAUCCAGCAAUGCCGCGUGUGUGAAGAAGGCCUGCGGGUUGUAAAGCACUUUCAGUUGGGAAGAUGAUGACGUUACCAACAGAAGAAGCACCGGCUAAAUCCGUGCCAGCAGCCGCGGUAAUACGGAUGGUGCGAGCGUUAAUCGGAAUUACUGGGCGUAAAGCGCGCGUAGGCGGCUAAGUCAGUCAGAAGUGAAAGCCCCGGGCUCAACCUGGGAAUUGCUUUUGAUACUGCUUAGCUAGAGUUUGGUAGAGGAUAGUGGAAUUCCAGGUGUAGCGGUGAAAUGCGUAGAUAUCUGGAGGAACAUCAGUGGCGAAGGCGACUGUCUGGACCAAAACUGACGCUGAGGUGCGAAAGCGUGGGUAGCAAACAGGAUUAGAUACCCUGGUAGAAGGGC